rnacentral:rRNA from 1 species
GACGAACGCUGGCGGCGUGCUUAACACAUGCAAGUCGAACGAAGAGCGAUGGAAGCUUGCUUCUAUCAAUCUUAGUGGCGAACGGGUGAGUCACGCGUAAUCAACCUGCCCUUCAGAGGGGGACAACAGUUGGAAACGACUGCUAAUACCGCAUACGAUCUAACCUCGGCAUCGAGGAUAGAUGAAAGGCGGCCUCUACAUGUAAGCUAUCACUGAAGGAGGGGAUUGCGUCUGAUUGGUUAGUUGGCGGGGUAACGGCCCACCAAGGCGAUGAUCAGUAGCCGGUCUGAGAGGAUGGACGGCCACAUUGGGACUGAGACACGCCCCAGACUCCUACGGGAGGCAGCAGUGGGGAAUCUUCCGCAAUGGACGAAAUUCUGACGGAGCAACGCCGCGUGAGUGAUGACGGCCUUCGGGUUGUAAAGCUCUGUUAAUCGGGACGAAAGGCCUUCUUGCGAAUAGUUAGAAGGAUUGACGGUACCGGAAUAGAAAGCCACGGCUAACUACGUG